rnacentral:rRNA from 1 species
UACGUAGGGUGCGAGCGCUGUCCGGAAUUAUUGGGCGUAAAGGGCUCGUAGGCGGUUUGUCGCGUCGGGAGUGAAAUCCACUGGCUUAACUGGUGGCUUGCUUUCGAUACGGGCAGACUGGAGGUAUGCAGGGGAGAACGGAAUUCCUGGUGUAGCGGUGAAAUGCGCAGAUAUCAGGAGGAACACCGGUGGCGAAGGCGGUUCUCUGGGCAUGUCCUGACGCUGAGACGCGAAAGCGUGGGGAGCGAACAGG